rnacentral:rRNA from 1 species
CUACGGGGUGCUGCAGUGAGGAAUUUUGCGCAAUGGGGGCAACCCUGACGCAGCAACGCCGCGUGAGUGAAGAAGGCCUUUGGGUCGUAAAGCUCUGUCAAUGGGGAAGAAGUUAUUAUGUGUUAAUAGCACAUUUUAUUGACGGUACCCAUGAAGGAAGCACCGGCUAACUCCGUGCCAGCAGCCGCGGUAAUACGGGGGGUGCAAGCGUUAUUCGGAAUUAUUGGGCGUAAAGGGCACGCAGGCGGUCCUGUCAGUCAGAUGUGAAAGCCCAGGGCUCAACCCUGGACGUGCAUUUGAAACAGCAGGACUUGAGUACGGGAGAGGAAAGGGGAAUUCCUGGUGUAGAGGUGAAAUUCGUAGAUAUCAGGAGGAACACCGGUGGCGAAGGCGCCUUUCUGGACCGAUACUGACGCUGAGGUGCGAAGGCGUGGGUAGCGAACGGGAUUAGAUACCCUGGUAGUC